GAAUAGGCGAAGAAAAUAGGUGUGAUGUUAUCCAUCACUUAAUAGGGAAGUUGGUUGAAGUCCAACGCGGUCCCGCCACUGUAUUUGCGAGCAACCUGCACGAUUCCACUGUGUGUUAAACAUGGGAAGGAGUAGGAAGUGAUGACCAUUAGCCAGGAAACCUACCUGUUUUUUCCCACCAAU
rnacentral:ncRNA from 1 species